GAACAAAAUUUUUUACAUGAUCUCAUGAGAGGAGUGAAUUUAACCCUCAGCAGUUAAGCGAUUGUGGAGAUAUUGACAUUAUAAAUAUUUUCAGGCUUCUAUUGUCCCCAGGAUCAGGUCUGUAUCAUACCAUGCCCAACGGGAGCGUACUGUGUCAGAGAUAAACUAGUUAACGCCAAGAAACAAUCGCCUCAAUUGUGCCGCGAGAGUGGAAAAUGCUGCAGUCCUUCCCAGUCGAUCCCUAUCUUUGAUCCUCGAACACCUUCGAAGUAUGUUUGCCCAGGGGCCCAGCUCCCAGUUCCGUGUCCUCAAGGCAACUUCUGUCCAAACGUCACCGUCCAAAAGACGUGUCCAGGUGGAUAUUUUUGUCGGAAAGGAAGCGUGGAACCACAAAACUGUCCGAUUCUCUCCAUUUGCAAGAAAGGGUCUUCAGCUCCUGUUAGCGCUCCUGGUGGUGUUUUACUGAUUUUUGGAAUAUUACUGGUCAUGCUGUUGCUUUUGUACUGUUUCCACCACGAAGAAAAACUUGUAGAACUUUUUGAACGUUAUGUGACGAAGAAACACUACGUGAGAAUGGAAGAGAGGAGCACUUUGGAUAAAUACCGAGAGGAGUCAGAGCCCAAGACACAGACCAUCACCAUUCGCUUUGAAAACCUUAGCCUGUCACUU